GGUGCCAUUUGGAACACACUGUAUAAUUGUACGAAGUUUUGUUUCAUUUUGGGGGGGAGAAAAGAAAAGAGGAGAAGCAUCGAAAAUCCAUGUACAGCAUGUUGCUAAGGAAACACUGGGCCAGACAGCAUGUAAACGUAUAUGAAAUGGUGGAGGUCCUUGUUGUUGCUUAGGCAACACUGGGCCAGACAGCAUGUUGUUGAAACCAUCACUGCUAGCCAGCCAGCUAUGUGAUUAUAAUAGGAUGAUUUGCUUGAAUUUUGGCUAUUGUUAUUGUGGUAAAAGUCAUAGUCAAAAUUAAAGCUCCAUUAAUUUGUAAAUAGGAUAGGAUACAUAGAAAUAUAAUGUAUCAAGAAAGAAAAAAAGACUACUAUAUUAUGGCCAUCAUUCUAGCUAAGUAAAGUCUAUGUGCCAUUAAAGGAGAAGAAAAAAAAGCUAAAUGUAUAUUAGUCAAGAUAAUAGAGACUUGUGUGUGUUGUGUAUGUUGCAUUUCUGGCUCCUCGAUGUAUUUGUAAAAGUAAUGCUGUCUGUUUGGUCUCUGGUUUGCUGAUGUGUUUAGACUUUCCUUUUAAAGGUAAUUGUUAUAAUAAUAAUAAUAAUAAUAAUAGGUCUCUGAUGUGCUCUGAGCGAGAACAAUAGCAUGGUUUAUUGAUAAGAAAAAGAAAAAAAAUCAAGAGUUAUAUGAUAUAUAUAUUAGCUGGUUGCAUACAUUUCUGUAACAUCAUCGAUUCUAUAGACAUUGUGUUCAUGUUUUCAACAAACAAACUUUGUAGGUUCACUUUUUAUUGCACUAAAUUUGUAUGAUAUGAAACAUGGCUUUGUCACAAACCUUAUAAUGGACAAAUGUCACGAGGGAAUGACGAAAUGAAGGCCCGCAACAACAACAACAAAAAACACAACAACAACAAAAAUAUUUUUUAUGAUCGAAAAAGAAUUGUCAUGUAGAAAAUGACUACUAUAAUUGUCAUGUAGCAAAAAAAUGUGCAUUAAUAAUGAUCUCAGUGAGAUUUACUCAUUCUCAUCCACGAGAAUAUAAUCUAAGCGUUAAGGAAAAAUUAAAUGUUUAAAAUGAUUUAAAGAAAAAACGUUUAAAAACCUACCUGUUUCAUUAUGUUAAAAAAUGACUUUAAUACGUAGGCGUGCAUGUGUUCAUGAUUUCUUUCCUACUACUUUGUAUUGUUAGGUGCCUCCAAUAUGGCACCCUAUUCCCUAUAUAGUGCACUACUUUUUACCUGGUCAGAACUGUAGUAGUGCACUAUUUAGGGAAUAGGGUGCCUUUUCGGACGCAUACUUAUUAAGGUAACCACUGUCUGCUGUGGUAAGGGCUGGCUCUGUGUACCUGACUGGCAAUGCUACUGUAGUACCUGACUGGCAGUGCUACUGUAGUACCUGACUGGCAGUGCUACUGUAGUUAACUUAAUUACAGUGGGUUGUGCGGGUUCUGUGUACCUGACCGGUAGUGUUACUGUAGUUAACUUAAUUACAGUAAGUUACAUUAUUUUACAUUGUGGGCUGUUUACUUAAUAUAAGUUAAUAUUGUUCUGUGUGUAUGGAGCUAUGUUUCGUUAAUGAUUGACGUAUGUUUUUAUUUUUACAUACUUUUUUUUUAAAUGUAGCAUUUGUAAAGAAAUACGUUGUUUAAAAAAAAUCAAGAUUUUUGGCAUUACUACUAUAAGGCACUGAUAUUUGAAUUCAAUCUUUGAAUGAAGGAAAAUUCUCCUCCAUCUUUAGAUGUACAGGAGUUCCAACUAUAGAAUUAGAAUGAGUUCUAAUGAUUCUAUGGUUCCAUCAAGCAGUGACUCUGUACGUUGUGAGUUCUGACUGACCCUGAGCCAGUACCAACUCAGUUUGACUAUCCUGUUCAUUCCUACCAGUAGAAGAAGCUCCCUCCCUCUGUUGUUGUCUGGUGUACUGUGUCAUAUGUACAGUAGCUUGUUAAUAUGGCAAAAUAAAACAUUCAUGUUUCUUUUUUUUCAAUGGAAAGUACUCACUGGUGAGAUUUUUAAAGUGGUUUUAAAAGCCAAUAAACUUUUUUUUAAAGAA